rnacentral:rRNA from 1 species
AGAGUUUGAUCAUGGCUCAGAACGAACGCUGGCGGCAGGCCUAACACAUGCAAGUCGAGCGCACCCUUCGGGGCGAGCGGCGGACGGGUUAGUAACGCGUGGGAAUAUACCCUUCACUACGGAAUAGCCUCGGGAAACUGAGAGUAAUACCGUAUACGCCCUUCGGGGGAAAGAUUUAUCGGUGAUGGAUUAGCCCGCGUCUGAUUAGAUAGUUGGUGGGGUAAUGGCCUACCAAGUCUACGAUCAGUAGCUGGUUUUAGAGGAUGAUCAGCAACACUGGGACUGAGACACGGCCCAGACUCCUACGGGAGGCAGCAGUGGGGAAUCUUAGACAAUGGGCGAAAGCCUGAUCUAGCCAUGCCGCGUGUGUGAUGAAGGCCUUAGGGUCGUAAAGCACUUUCGCCAGGGAUGAUAAUGACAGUACCUGGUAAAGAAACCCCGGCUAACUCCGUGCCAGCAGCCGCGGUAAUACGGAGGGGGUUAGCGUUGUUCGGAAUUACUGGGCGUAAAGCGCACGUAGGCGGAUCAGAAAGUUGGGGGUGAAAUCCCAGGGCUCAACCCUGGAACUGCCCUCAAAACUCCUGGUCUUGAGUUCGAGAGAGGUGAGUGGAAUUCCAAGUGUAGAGGUGAAAUUCGUAGAUAUUUGGAGGAACACCAGUGGCGAAGGCGGCUCACUGGCUCGAUACUGACGCUGAGGUGCGAAAGUGUGGGGAGCAAACAGGAUUAGAUACCCUGGUAGU